GAUGAACGCUGGCGGCGUGCCUAAUACAUGCAAGUCGAACGGACAGGUCGUGGCUUUGUGGGGUGAGCGAGUGGCGAACGGGUGAGUAACACGUGAGUAACCUGCCUUUGACAUUGGGAUAACUUCAGGAAACUGGGGCUAAUACCGGAUAGGAGUUCAUGCUGCAUGGUGGGGGAUGGAAAGUUUCGGCGGUUGGGGAAGGAAUCGAGGCAUACCAGCUUGUUGGUGGGGUAGUGGCGUACCAAGGCCAUGACGGGUAGCCGGCCUGAGAGGGUGACCGGCCACAGUGGGCCUGGGGAACGGGCCGGACUCCUACGGCAGGCAGCGGUGGGGGUCAGUGCGCGAUGGGCGGAGUCCGGAUGCAGCAACGUCGCGUGGGAGAGGACUGCCGUCGGGGUGUAAACCGCUUCCGCCUGAGACGAAGCUAGAUUGACGGUAAUUGAUAAGGAAGCACCGGCUAACUACGUG
rnacentral:rRNA from 1 species